rnacentral:rRNA from 1 species
ACAUGCAAGUCGAACGGUAACGCGGGGCAACCUGGCGACGAGUGGCGAACGGGUGAGUAAAGCAUCGGAACGUGCCCAAUCGUGGGGGAUAACGUAGAGAAAUUUACGCUAAUACCGCAUGAGAUCUAAGGAUGAAAGCAGGGGAUCGCAAGACCUUGCGCGAUUGGAGCGGCUGAUGUCAGAUUAGGUAGUUGGUGGGGUAAAGGCCCACCAAGCCGACGAUCUGUAGCUGGUUUGAGAGAACGACCAGCCACACUGGGACUGAGACACGGGCCCAGACUCNUACGGGAGGCAGCAGUGGGGAAUUUUGGACAAUGGGCGAAAGCCUGAUCCAGCAAUGCCGCGUGCAGGAAGAAGGCCUUCGGGUUGUAAACUGCUUUUGUACGGAACGAAAUAGCUCUGGUUAAUACCCGGAGUUGAUGACGGUACCGUAAGAAUAAGCACCGGCUAACUACGUGCCAGCAGCCGCGGUAAUACGUAGGGUGCAAGCGUUAAUCGGAUUACUGGGCGUAAAGCGUGCGCAGGCGGUUAUAUAAGACAGUUGUGAAAUCCCCGGGCUUAACCUGGGAAUUGCAUCUGUGACUGUAUAGCUAGAGUACGGUAGAGGGGGAUGGAAUUCCGCGUGUAGCAGUGAAAUGC